UUAAACAAAAAAAUGAGAAGUGUCCCUUCCCAAAUUACCCCUCUCAGCUAAUUUUCCCCCUUUCCCGUCACUCAUUUGAACAUUCCAGAUUUGUGUAAAUCCCUAAUCCUAGCCAGCGGUGGCGUCGAAUCUCUCAUCUCGUUUCCAAGAUUUAUUCACGCCGUCAACACAAGGUUGCUGGAAAACUAACAUAGCUACACCUACGACGUAGCAAGAAACGGAUCACUUACAAAGGUACAUACUGCCCCGUCGGGGUGAGCAUCUUCGGUUUGCAAUUGAGCUUGCAUUUGUAAUGAAAUCUGCGUGCUUUGCUGUGCUAACUUUAAUACGUGGGGUGCUUUGAAUAUCUACACCGCCAUUGUUGCCCGAGUUGCUUGAUACAUACACAUUACUCGCGGUGCUAUUGGAGGCCUUUCAUCAACGAGCGUCGGAACCGUGUUGUGCCUCACAAAUUACACCUGCCAAAAAAGUCCAUGUAUUGAACCCUAUCCAAUGUGAGACGUGUUCGAUGUGAUACGAUACGACGGAGCACGCAAUUGCACUUUGGUGAUGAUUUUACCCAAAAUCGAAUGGGGUGGGGAGAGAUUACCCCGAGUUGAAAAUUCAGAAUGCGCUUAGGGUUAAUAUGGGAAAUUCGGGGUGAAUGGACGCCCAAUUAAAUAAUGCGGAAUUAAUGUUACAUUCAAAACACAACCCAUAUUUGAAAAGGUGAACACCAGUGUAUACUCUGGUGCAAGUGGGUCAGGCCUUAUCAAUUCUAGGUUUGUUUUAAUUCUGCCCAGUCCAAACUGUCUUAGCGAACGAGUCCCAAAUCUUUAUGUAUUUGCAUUGAAAAUAAAGUAUCAAUAAAAACCAAAAAGUACCCACUUUAUUUGCCACCGACAU